rnacentral:lncRNA from 1 species
AACUCAGAACUUUGGAGAGGGAGGAGAGCUGAACUGAUCCAGCAGUUGGGAGCUGUCUUCUGUCUGGCACCAUAGACCAGAUAGGUAGCUCCAACUGGCUCCUUGAUCCAGUGAUCUUCUCUCUGUGAUUCCUGACCCAGAUCCCAGCAGAAGUCAAACUAAUUGGACAGGACUUUGGAAAGAAUCCCUAGACUGAACUAUUCUUCACAUCCCAUCCAGAUAUUGAUCUUGGCAUCUUUCCCACAGCAACUCUGCCUCUUGAUAAAGCCUGUGUUCCUUUUACUGUGUCCAACACAAACCAGACUUGUCAACUUGAAGUGAAAUCACUAGCAAAAAAUGAGGAGAAUUUGUAAAAUCAAGAGAGCAUAUGAAUACUGAGAAAUGGAGGUCAGCAUUUUGUUAAGGUAAAAAGAUUGAAACAAAGAGACAAAGUGAAAGAACAAAUUAAACCUUCCUGAAAGACCUGGAGAAACAGACUAUAAAGGAAAAAAGAAAAGAAGAAUGUGACUGUCCCUUUGUCAUGAUGUUUGUUGAAGGUCAUGCAUUAAUGAACUUGCAUUUUCCUAAAGGUAAUGGACAAA